UUGUAGAAGACUAUAGAAAGACGUCAGAAGACUUCAGAAGAAAGAAGAUCAACAUUGUAUUGGAACUCAUCGACUUGUAGGCUAGUUGACCAUUUGAUGUCUGUAGCUAAAAAAAAUGUGAUGUAUAAAAAAUACAAUCUCAAGAACAUAAUACUGAAUAUUAUAGAAUUACAGAUAUACACAGAAACGAUGAUUAAAGUAGUGAUUGGUUUCUGAAGAUUAUGCGGCAACAGAUGAAUGACUGCGCUAGAUAUCAGGCCUGUAAUGCUGCUCUCUGCGGUUAGAUGGCAGCAGUCAGCUGUCAUGCUGCACAUCAACGCUUCCACAGUUACUACAGAGAGUCUGACUUUGCUGCUGCACAUUUCAUUGUCUUUUAUUCACUAGAUUGUGAGGAAAAAAUCAUUUAGAAAGCAACGAGAAAUAACACGAGCAAAAAGGAAACACCGCAAUAAUGGACAUGAAAACAAGCGUGUGUCUUUUAGAGCGCCGUAUGGAAGGGGAGGAGAGAUCACACAGGUGGGGUUGUGUCUCUAGAGGGAAGAUCUUUGUGACCUGGGUGUGCUGGGUCAGUUCUCAGUGUGACCGCUGUGCUUGCUGGGAUGUCACUUCAUAUCCACUGAAUCCAUCUGCCUUAAUUCUUCGUUGCAUAGAUGACGCUGGAAACAUUCCUCAGCUCAGAGAUUUUGGUCCAUAUUGAUUUGAGAGCAUCACGCAGUUGCUGCAGAUUUGUCAGUUGCACAUCCAGGAUGCGAAUCUCCCAUUCCAUUCCACCACAUUCCAAAGGUGCCCUAUUGGAUUGAGAUCUAUAGUGACUGUGGAAGCCAUUUGAGUAUAGUCAUGUUCAAGAGACCAGUUUGAGAUGAUUUGAGCUUUGUGACAUGGUGCGUUAUCCUGCUGGAAGUCGCCAUCAGAAGAUGGGUACACAUAAAUGGACGGACAUGGUCAGCAGCAAUACUCAGGUAGGCUGUGGCAUUUAAACAAUGCUCAGUUGGUACUAAGGGGCCAAGAAGUUGCAAAGUGUGCCAAGAAAAUAUCCCCCACAUCCAUACACCACCAGCACCAGCAGCCUGAACCAUUGAUACAAGGCAGGAUGGAUCCAUGCUUUCAUGUUGUUUACUCCAAAUUCUGAUCCUACCUUCUGAUUGUCCCAGCAGAAACUGAGACUCAUCAGACCAGGCAAUGUUUUUCCAAUCUUCUAUUGUGCAAUUUUGGUGAGCCUGUGUGAAAUGUAGCUUCAGUUUCCUGUUCUUAGCUGACAGGAGUGGUACUCGGUGUGAUCUUCUGCUGCUGUAGCCUAUUCUGCUUCAAGGUUCGACUUCUUGUGCGUUCAGCGAUGCUCUUUGGUUGUAACGAGUGCUUAUUUGAGUUACUGUUGGCUUUCUAUCAGCUGGAACCAGUCUGGCAAUUCUCCUGACCUCUGGAAUCAACAAGGUAUUUUCACCCAAAGAAAUGACACUCACUGGAUAUUUUUUUUCGGAUCAUUCUCUAUAAACCCUGCAGAUGGUUAUGUGUGAAAAUCCCAGAAGAUCAGCAGUUUCUGAAAUACUCAGACUAGCCCGUCUGGCACCAACACCAUGCCACGUUCAAAGUCACUUAAAUUUUUCUUCCUCAUUCUGAUGCACAGUUUGAACAUCAGCAGAUCAUCUUGACCAUGUCUACAUGCCUAAAGACAUUGAGUUGCAUCGGAUCUGAUUUGUGACGUUGGACCACAAAACCAGUCGUAAGGGUCAAUUUUUUUGAAAUUGAGAUUUAUACAUCAUCUGGAAGCUGAAUAAAUAAGCUUUCCAUUGAUGUAUGGCUUGUUAGGAUAGGACAAUAAAAAAUUAAAAAUCUGGAAUCUGAGGGUGCAAAAAAAUCUAAAUAUUGAGAAAAUGUUUGAUAUAUUUACGGUAGGAAAUUUACAAAAUGUCUUCAUGGAACAUGAUCUUUACUUAAUAACCUAAUGAUUUUUGGCAUAAAAGAAAAAUCGAUCAUUUUGACCCAUACAAUGUAUUGUUGGCUAUUGCUACAAAUAUACCUGUGUGAAUUAUGACUGGUUUUGUGGUCCAGAGUCACAUUUGUUAAAAUGGUUCCAUUUACACUUGGCCACAUAAAUGUGUAUCCAAUAAGAGAAAAUGCAUGAAGUGGCCAGGUGUAAACAGGCCUUAAGACAUAGACCAUGCCUUUACUCAGUUAGGACUUGUAUACAGAUCAGCUCACACUUUCACAUUUUACAUACACGAAUGUACAGAUGAAUUGUAUUCUUUACAACUCAAUAAAGCUCAGUGGCACUGUCUUGUA